AGUUUGAUCAUGGCUCAGAGUGAACGCUGGCGGCAGGCCUAAUACAUGCAAGUCGAACGGCAGCACAGUGGAGCUUGCUCCAUGGGUGGCGAGUGGCGGACGGGUGAGGAAUACAUGGGAAUCUGCCCAGUCGUGGGGGAUAACGUAUGGAAACGUACGCUAAUACCGCAUGCGCCCUUCGGGGAAAGUCGGGGACCGCAAGGCCUGACGCGAUUGGAUGAGCCCAUGUUCGAUUAGCUAGUUGGCGGGGUAACGGCCCACCAAGGCGACGAUCGAUAGCUGGUCUGAGAGGAUGAUCAGCCACACUGGAACUGAGACACGGUCCAGACUCCUACGGGAGGCAGCAGUAGGGAAUAUUGGACAAUGGGGGCAACCCUGAUCCAGCCAUGCCGCGUGAGUGAAGAAGGCCCUCGGGUUGUAAGGCUCUUUUGUUGGGGAAGAAAAGCAGUUGGUUAAUACCCGAUUGUUCUGACGGUACCCAAAGAAUAAGCACCGGCUAACUUCGUG
rnacentral:rRNA from 1 species